ACAGACAUUAUGAUUUUUGAAGUUAAAGGUUCUUAAAUGACUCAUCGCUUGACAUUUUCUGAAUAAUACUUCGACACACCAGAAUCCCCUGUUCAGUCAUAGAGCCAGAGGGUCCAAACUCACAUCUCUAACAGUCAGAGAGACAAGAUGCGUCCCCUCUGGUGGAUCACACACGUCCUUCUAUCCCUGCCCACUCACCUUCAUGUCGUCGGCUCCCUCAAGUGUGACCUGGCCACACAGUAUUUGUGGCCUCCGCAAACCAAAAGCAUCUGCUGCGACAUGUGUCCGCCAGGUAAAGCCGUUGGGAUCGGACGUGUGUGUCAGGUGUGUGUCAGGUGUGUGUCAGGUGUGUGUCAGGUGUGUGUCAGGUGUGUGCGUUCCAACAUGACACCCGCCUGUGCUCUCCUUCCCAGGCGAGCACAUGUUAAAGCGCUGCAGCGACGACUUGCCGACAAUCUGUGUCCCCUGUUCCAGUGGCUACUAUAUGAACAACUACAACUUUCAAAGAGAUUGCAUAUCCUGCCAAGGCUGCAGUAAGAGUGAGCUGGAGAAAGUCUCCACCUGUACCACCAAGCAGGACGAUGUGUGCAAAUGUAAAACAGGCUACCGCUGCAAAGACACUGGACCCUGUCGGGAGUGCGAGAAGAUGCCCACAACAACGACAACUAAACACACUAAAUUACCCAACACCACAUCUACAGCAGUGCCUAGGACACCUAACCCUACAACAAGGCCUGUCACCCCAUCUGGUUCUACCCCCAUCACAAACCCUGUCCCCACAGAAGACAGAAAGUGGAUCCCGAUGUUUGUGACCGCGAUGUGUCUUUGCCUUCUCCUCAUCUGCAUGUUUGCCGUCUCAAAGCUCCAAUCUAUUUUGUCAUGGAUUGGUUCAAGAAACAACUUCUGGUCUCCCCCCCAAAAAUCACUGGCAAUUCAGAGCCCAGAGGAAGAGGAAGUGCCCAUGCCAGUACAGGAAGAGUGCGGAAAGUUGGAGCUGCUUUUGGACGUGUGAUAAAUGUGGAUGUGGGAGGAAAAUACGGUCAAAGAGCUUUGGAAACCUGGGAGACAAACAUUAAGACCAGAGAUUCUGCUGGAUUUCUCUCACUGCUUGCAGUGCUUUGCUGUCUCUAGGGACUUUUAGAGAGGACAACGAAAUGGGACAAAAGUCACCGGAAGAAACCACCAGACACAGGCAAAGGAAGAAGCCUGUGUGUGACAAAGAAAGAUCAAAGAGUAAGAGUGAAUGACUGGAAUCAGAAUCACCUUUUAUUAAUUAAGACAAAUUAACACAUACUCAAAGAAUUUACACAGCGAAGAGAGUGGUAGAACGAAGAAGAAAAUAUAAAUCAUUUGCACCACAGCACAUGGAAAUAAAGUGGUCAGGUUGAGGGCUGUUUUUUUGGACAUGGUUAACCUGUACUGCCCACCUCCCUCUUCCUGAAGGAAGAUACUUUCUUUAAAUAGGAGUAUUAAGCAUAACCGAGAGACACACACACACACAGUGUGUGUUAAGUACAUGUACAGUACAUGAUUAUGUUGAAGAUGUUUUACACCUUCAUUGCAAUUGUUCUGUUUGCUGUAUCCAUGCUUUUUAGAUGCAUAUUGAAAUGUAGUCAUUAUUUGAAAUAGAACACACCAUAACAUAUUGUAAAUAAAGAAUAGCUUCAAAAAGAUUACAGACCUACAGUGAUUUAUGACGACCUAAUCACAUUACUUUUAUUAUUUAUCAUUUAGCUUUCAAUUUUACAAAGAUAGUUCCAACAUGCCAAAUGAACAUGAUGGGAAACAGAUAGCAACAUCUGAGACAGAGAGCUUAUUAUAAAUACAGUACAAUUUACAAUAUAAACAUCAUGGGGUUGCUCUGAGGGCUUCACGCAGUCACGGCCUGGGGGCAGAAACAGUUGGGGGUUUGUUUCUACCUGCUGGUUAAAUGCACUCACCUGGCGUCCCAGGUCUGAGUUAGUCUUUGAUUAGAAGGAUAGAAUUAAACCCAGAAAGGAUCAGCCCUCCAGGACCGACAUUACACAGCCCUCAUGUCAGUGUGAGAGGACUGAGAUUCCCCCUGCUAGAAAGUUAGAAUUCACCAUUCUAGAGUGUUUGGAUUCACCUGAGUUCUUCUGAGAGCAUGAAUAAGUUAUCACUUACCACUGACCCUGGGUCAGUGUUAGUCCAUUAUUGCAUACCAUUAGGAUGUUCAGUUGGCAAAACCGCUUCCACAUGGUGUGUCCUCAGUCUGCAAUCCCCCUCCAAUCAUAAUAAUCCCUCCUCUUUGGACAUGUGACUCUCCUUUCCUUGCUCCUGUGAAGGGAAAAAUACACAGUCCAUCUCGCCAUUCUUCUCUUCCUGGGAUAGAUGGAUAUUAGGGGAGGGGAUGGGGUGUGUCGGACAGCUUCCGCUUUCUUCAUCCCUCGUGUUUUGCUUUUGCUCAUCCUCUAGUCCUCCACUAACUCCACCGUGACCAGUGAACUGGUUGAGUAAACUGAAGAUAACUGUUCCAGCGCUGUAGACAUGGACCGGGCCUGAGUAAGACACAGGGGGGGGGGGGGGUUGACAGUACUUUCAACGGAAUUGCAAUCAAAUACUCAGUAUAGGCAUUGACAGCUAAAAAUGUUUCCCUGCUUAUCCUUCACAUAUUUCAACACAAUUAAUGCUAAGUUCCAGAUCAUGUGGACAGAUCUGUAAAGAGGUUCCCAUAGCAGGGAAUUAAUGACCAUCUUAUUGCAAAAGAACACAAAUGAACAAAAAGUUACUUUUAUUAAAAUGUUCUUUAAGGUCUCAGUAAACAUCAUUAUUUGCAUCUCUAUGUUUGCCUCAGUACCCAUAUUUGCUGUAGGGUGUGGGUUGAUUGGCUGAUGCCUCCCAGUGGGUUGUGGCUCUUUUGUCUGGUGAGUUGGCACUUUGGCAAUGUUAGGCACCCCUUCUCUGACUCCCUUUAGAAGAAGACAUACAAAGUCACCAUAAAUAAUUAUGGAAUAAUACAAU
ensembl:lncRNA